CCUGCCUGGACCGGCCACCCUAGGAGUCUGCUGUGUGCUCCCCAGGGAGCCUGCAGAUGGCUGACUCAGUGGUCGCAGUGCAUCCCGCAGCCUGGACUUCUGGAGCCAGCUUGGCCCAUUUCCCAAGCCUAGGUGGUCCUCUGGUGAGUCUGCGAAGCCUCAGGGUGCUUUCUAACCACCCCCUCUUCUUAGAGCGGUAUUUUGAUCGUAUAUCUGCCGAGCCAGCCUUCUUAGAAGACUUGGCCUUAAGCGCCGUGGGAGGCCAUCGUGUGCAGUCCCCUGCCUCUGGGCUAACUGGCAUUCACACUGAUCAGCCUCACCUGACCUCUUCCUGCAUGCCACAUCUCUCGCUGAGGAAGUCUCUCCUGUUAUCUGACCACAUACCACCCUGCUGCCAAGUGCAUUGCUUGUGUUACAAACUUGUGUUUGGACUGAGGAUAUUAAAGAAGGAAGAAUAAUUCAGAAAUGGCCUAAUCUCACUAAUUUUGUUUUUUUUUAACAAUCAGAGGGGGAUUUCUCUUGACUACAAACGAAUCUCUUCCCCUUCCAUCUUUCCCCGCCUCUGUGGGGCUAUCUGUCGCUCCCGAAUCUGCUUGCGUCAGGUUUCUCUGAUGUCUAGAAUCUCGAGUAGCUUCCUGGAGACAGAUGGCAUUGAUUUUGCAUUUGUUCCACAGGGCCUGUCUCUCAUGAAAUAUUAACAUCAGCUUCUGACAUGGAGCUCCUGAAAAUAUCAGAAACAAUUUAAUCUGCGACUUUAAAAAGUAUUUGGUAACAUCUUAGGCCUGGAGAAGUUUCAGAGAAGGGACUGUUUUUCAAAUAACUAGAGAAUUUUGGAGAAUCAUCAAAUUUGGCUCCUUUUUGCGUGUAAUCUUCUUGCCUCUUCCUGCACCUCAUAUUUUGGACCACUGGGUUGUGUCUCAGUGACUUCAGUAUGAGAGGAGAAGGUUCCCCAGCUUCCACGUUGCAGCACAGGGAGGAGCACUGGGCCAGGAGUCCACAGGGGAGGCUCUCCACAACCUUGGGGAAAUCAUGUCCCCGCUUGGGGCCUCAGUUUCUCCACUGGUGAAAUGGGAGCAUGAUCCCUUCCCCCACGCCAUCUCAGGUGCCUGAGUGCACAACUUACUGUUUUUUAAGGGAGAGUUGGCUAGCUGUCUCCCUUCUCUGGAUGGACAUAGAAAUUCCUUGGACUUAUUUGACCCUGAGUAUCUGAGUGGCUCUCUUAUGUGAAUAGAGAAUGAGGAAGAUCCCAAGGCCCUGCAGAAGGGGCCCCCCAGGACCUCCUGCUCUGACCUCACAGAGCCCCAGGGCUGGUCGCUGCGAAGGAGGAGGCAGCUUACUUGCGUAGGUCCCCCCAGCCCCCAAUGCCUGAAGUAUCACACCAGGUCUGGUCAGGGAAUGGGUUCUCGAUUCUAAUAAGAUGAUCGCGACACUCAGCACCACAUGAGGACUCGAUGGGAAAGCCCAUUUCAGAAAUGACGAUUCUGGGCAAUUGGAGACCAGGCUGAAUUAAGUCCCUGCAGGAACUCAGGAGAGGAGAGGGCUGCUUCCUCCUGGGCUCCUGUCCCCAAGUCUCUUCCCGGUGCUGCCCUGUGGCAGCUCUGCCGCUCAGAGAAACCUGCAGAUGCCACGUCUGCUGCAGACACUUGAAGAAAUUGGCUUGGACAGGAGACAGCGCUAGUUAGGAGGUUGGGCAACUCUAAGUGGCAGAGAUUGCCCAAGGCGACCUGAUGUCCCCAACGCCAGGUCCCUGCCCAGAUGGCCUCUCCUUUCUCUCAUUUUGAUGUGUGAUCUGAAAGAACGUGAGCACCAGGGAGCAGGGACCUGCCUGCCUUAACUCCUGGGACCUCCAGAGCCAAGAAUCGUGAUCGUGCCAGAGUUUUCCUUCCUGGAAAUUAGUGGGAGAGCUGAAGUCUUCCCUUGUACUUCUUUGGAAGAAGAGUAGGACUGCCUGGGCAGAGUCUGUGAAGGAUGAGGCCAAGGCUGUAGCAGCAUUUGAUGAGUUCACCACCCAUUCCUGAUCCAAAAGAAAAGAUGACUGGCAAUUUAGCAAACACCAUACCUACUCUCCAUUUGGGAGGAAGCCUCUGUAAGUCACAGUGGCUGAAAGAGCAAUUCAGAGGGUGACCAAGUGUUCUGGUUUUCCCAGGACAGAGGGGCUUCUGGGAUGUGGGACUUUUAGUGCUAAACCUGACAAACCGGGAUGCUGGUCACCAGAUACAGAGUGUUGGCAGCAGCUCAGGCAACAGAAGAGUAAAAAAAUGAUUAAACUGUUCUACGGAAGAAAAUCAGACUUUUUGUUUGUUCAUUCCAGAGAGGGUGGGGAGAUAACAGAAAGAGGGGCAAAAAACAGGGAGAAAAGAGGUUGAGGAGGGUGUGGAGGGCCCCCUGAGGGGUGGGCCUGGGACACUGAGGAACUGAGAGCCUCAUGCUGAUUGUGAAGCUGUGUUUUUGUGAUGGAAGCUUCAGAGCACCAUUCCCACCUCUUCCCUGUCGUGGAUGCUGGUGGUGCCCGCCAGGUCCAGUUACAGGGUCAGUGGCUGCUGCUCCCAGCCCCCCUCCACCACCGUCAGGAUACUGUGAAUAUUAGCUGCUGCCCACUUCCGGGGGAACUGCUCCAAGCUGAUUACACGUGCCUGCUCCCCACAGCUGAUGACUGAGUGAUAAAGCGGGUACAAAGGCUGGCUCCUCUCUCGUGCUGCUAGGGAACCUACCCUAAGAGGACUCCCUUCAGCAAAGCCUAGCACACUUGCAGGUGGGUGUGUGCAAGUUUAAGAUGGGCCAGGUGUCCCAUUGGAGUUGUGGAAUUAAACAAACCUCAGCUAAAAUUGGGAUUGAGAAGGCCUAAAGAGGGACCUCUCAUGCCACGCCAUGCAUGGUCAGUUACUCCAAACAGGAAGAGACACUACAUCCUGAAUGGAAGGAAGGUGUUACCCACUUUACUAUCCUGCAGGAAGAAGAAAACUUCUCUCUACCCUGACAGCCCAGCCAAUCGAAGACCGCAGCAGCCCAAGCAAUGAAAAGCCUCCAUACUUUGGGCUCCCAGCUUCCUUCAGAGGAUUCUGGUUCCUACAGCCCCUCCCGACUCCCUCCUUUUCCCUAUAAAAGCAAACCACCUUUCCUUCCUCUCUGGAUGUGCCUAUGGUCUACCAGUUGCAUAUCCCAAACUGCAA